rnacentral:rRNA from 1 species
CAUGGCGUACUGUCAGUACACGUGGACAACCUACCCUUAGGUCUGGGAUAACCCCGGGAAACUGGGAAUAAUACCGGAUAUAUCGCGAAUGCUGGAAUGCGUCGCGAUAGAAAGCUCCGACGCCUAAGGAUGGGUCUGCGGCCUAUCAGGUAGUAGUGGGUGUAAUGUACCUACUAGCCUACGACGGGUACGGGUUGUGAGAGCAAGAGCCCGGAGAUGGAUUCUGAGACACGAAUCCAGGCCCUACGGGGUGCAGCAGGCGCGAAAACUUUACAAUGCUGGCAACAGCGAUAAGGGAACCUCGAGUGCCAGGAUACACCUGGCUGUCGUGAUGCCUAAAAAGCAUUGCAUACAAGGGCCGGGCAAGACCGGUGCCAGCCGCCGCGGUAACACCGGCGGCUCGAGUGGUAACCGCUAUUAUUGGGUCUAAAGGGUCUGUAGCCGGCUGAAUAAGUCUCUUGGGAAAUCUGGCCGCUUAACGGUCAGGCUUCAGGAGAUACUGUUCGGCUCGAGACCGGGAGAGGUGAGAGGUACCUCAGGGGUAGGGGUGAAAUCUUGUAAUCCCUGAGGGACCACCAGUGGCGAAGGCGUCUCACCAGAACGGAUCUGACGGCAAGGGACGAAAGCUAGGGGCACGAACCGGAUUAGAUACCCGGGUAGUCCUAGCCGUAAACGAUACUCGCUAGGUGUCGGCCACGGUGCGACCGUGGUCGGUGCCGUAGGGAAGCCGUGAAGCGAGCCACCUGGGAAGUACAGCCGCAAGGCUGAACUUAAAGGCUA